UUUUGUAGUUGAAAACUAUGCCACAGUUGAUAACCAGCUUAGAACUCUUAAUCGAAAAUUUAAAAUUGAUUGGGCUCAUCUAAAUAGUCAUCUCAAAGCCCCUGAGAACCUGUCUAGACGAGAAAGUUACCACCAAGCCUUUCCUGAUAGUCAAAGCCGUCAAGAAAUCUUUAAAGAAUGGAAAGAUUACAUGCAGUCUGCCCAAGUUGAAAUUUUCUACCUUGAUUUUGUCGAAAGCCGUUAUAUGUCAAAUGAUGAGUUAAAAUCUUUGACUAAAGAAAAAUGGAAAAUGAUAGAUAAGUCUGUCGUUGAAUCCAGCCAUCCUCCAGUUGACACUAUAAUUAUUGAACACAAGAAUACUCCUAUACCUGCUACCCCUUUCAAAACCUUUGAAAGCAACGAUAGCAAUAGAAGAAUUCUUGAGCAAAAUAAUUAUACAAACCAAAGUCUAAUCGUCAUAGGAAAACUAUUAGACACGAUAGAAACAAAAAUUGACAAAAUCAGUUCCCCAAAAGCAAAGGAAAGAUAAAAAUGCAUUUGACUAUCAGAGUUCAAGCAACUUCAUUGGUGCGAAAAGCAACUUCACACUUACACUCAGUAUUUACAAGGGUAUUUACAAGGAUGAUUUUCUCCAAAGGAUGUUUCAGAGAGAAUCUUUUAAAACUGAAUAUGAAAUGCAGCUGGAAAACCAUUUCUGCCUACAACUGAGGCCGAAGCCUGAAUUUAAAGACAAAUGCAACUAUGGUUUACAUAACUGGGAUAAAAAGUAACUGAGGUUAAGCAACUGUAGGGGCACGGGCAUGCCAUUUGAUUCAACUUUCAAUUUUGUCGAUUUGUGGGGAAUCUUUGCUUUCGGCUACUUUCGGCGAUUUGAUUGAGGCAAACAGUGCUUUGUCUGCUGCUCUCAUGAGAUUCGGCGACUGCUUUUGACGAGGCGUGCUGUCGGCAACUUCUUUUGACUGGGUCAAUUAUGAUUGAGAGGUGUCCCUAAUCAGACCCUAGGUCAUAGGCGUCAUAGGGAUCCUGGCUGUCAUCAUACCAAGUUUUCGACUUGGCAGGACUCCGCAUGGGCUGGCAACUAGACGACGAGGGAGAAUUAUUGUCCUCAUCAUCAUCCAUUUGAGAGGCCUGAAUAAUCAACUGGCGAGCAAUUUCCUGUAGUUCGGCUUUGGAUUUUCCUUCAACUGAUAAGGAAGAUCGAACUGAACCAGUAGGAGAUGCUGGUCGCGGAAUAGGCUCUCGAGGAAGAUCAUUGUAGACAUAUUUGGCAAUUCGGUCAACUUCAAAUUUAUCCCACCAUUUGACAGAGAAUUGGCGGGCAAAUACUCGGACAUCCUUGGUGAUUCUGUAGGACCAUUUGAGAAUCCAAGGGACCUUGUAUCUGGCAAUGAAAAGCAACUGUUUUGGAAAGAACAGAUCAACUUGGGAGAACUUGGCAUGCUUAGUGUAGUGGCGGAUCAACUCAUGAACUGAAACAGGCAGAAUUUCUUCAACUGGGCCAUGUUUUUCCCACCAAUGGAGGAACCAGUAUGGGAAAGAACAUUUGAACUUGUUAUCAAAAUUAAUAUUUUAUGGAUUCCACUUGGGCAUCAGAUAGUCAAAUGCAUUUACAUUUGAAAUGCAUUCCAUCACUUGGGCAUCAGACACUUCCCUGUCUUGGUAUUCCAUCAGUUGAUUCCUUCAAAAUAGUUGAAACUGAUGCCUCUGACAUUGGUUACGGUGGCAUUCUUAAACAAAAAGUCAGUCCAAAAUCUCCAGAACAAAUUGUUCGUUUCCAUUCUGGAACUUGGACACAGUCGCAGUAUAAUUAUAGUACCAUUAAAAAAGAAAUAUUAGCUAUUGUAUUAUGUAUUAGCAAAUUUCAAGAUGAUUUACUUAAUCAAAAGUUUUUAAUCCGAGUUGAUUGUAAGUCUGCAAAACAUGUUUUAGAAAAAGAUGUUCAAAACAUUGCAUCUAAACAGAUUUUUGCACGAUGGCAAAGUAUUUUAAGCAUAUUUGAUUUUGAUAUUGAAUACUUAAAAGGAAGUGAAAAUUCUGUCCCUGAUUUUCUCACUCGAGAAUUCUUGCAGGAUGCACAAUGGCCCCCAAAAAAGACAAACAGAAAGAAUCAGCCAGUCAAUCUAAGCCAUCCCAGUCGCCCAAGUCAUCCCAGUCGCCCAAAAUCCUCCCUUCUUCCAUGAGUCAGUCAAAACCAUAAUUGCCCAAACAGAUAGUUCCCUAUCCUGGUUGCCCUCCUAUCUCAGUUGCCACACCAAUUUCAGUGGCUAAAUCGAUUUUCUUCCCUUGGUUCAACAGUUGGUCAAAUUCGCCCUAGUUAUCAAUCCACCCUAGUUUCCAGUUAUGAUCCUUUCUCAGUUGAUACUCCUGCAGGCCCCUCAAUUCCUUACAAAAAAUCUUCCCCUUAUUUGCUCAAGAGUAAUUCCCAUUUAUUUUUCAUUGAGCCUCUGUAUGAUAUCCAUACAGAUCCCAUAGAAAUUGCCAAACAUUACUUCCCUCCUGGAUUCCACUAUAUGCCUCCAAGCCCUUAUAAGUCUCUCAAGUAUUAUAGAGAUAUAUUACUUGAAACACAGUCAGUUGAAAUUAAACCGAUAAAGGAUCGGGAUCAUCCUGAAACCAUUCUUUAUCAUUCCUUAUAUAUUCACAAAAUUCUAAGCCAAGAAUCCUUCAGUAGCCGUCCCUAUGAGUUAAAAGUUCUUAAAUCAAAAUUACAAUAUAAUUAUUUUGAUUAUAUUGAAGCAUGGUAUACUAUUUUCCUUCACCAAUCUGAAGAUUUUAGUCAUUCCUGGUUUAUUAAUUUUGAUAACAAGUUCAAAUGUUCUUUCCCAUACUGGUUCCUCCAUUGGUGGGAAAAACAUGGCCCAGUUGAAGAAAUUCUGCCUGUUUCAGUUCAUGAGUUGAUCCGCCACUACACUAAGCAUGCCAAGUUCUCCCAAGUUGAUCUGUUCUUUCCAAAACAGUUGCUUUUCAUUGCCAGAUACAAGGUCCCUUGGAUUCUCAAAUGGUCCUACAGAAUCACCAAGGAUGUCCGAGUAUUUGCCCGCCAAUUCUCUGUCAAAUGGUGGGAUAAAUUUGAAGUUGACCGAAUUGCCAAAUAUGUCUACAAUGAUUUUCCUCGAGAGCCUAUUCCGCGACUAGCAUCUCCUACUGGUUCAGUUCGAUCUUCCUUAUCAGUUGAAGGAAAAUCCAAAGCCGAACUACAGGAAAUUGCUCGCCAGUUGAUUAUUCAGGCCUCUCAAAUGGAUGAUGAUGAGGACAAUGAUUCUCCCUCGUCGUCUAGUUGCCAGCCCAUGCGGAGUCCUGCCGAGCCGAAAACUUGGUAUGAUGACAGCCAGGAUCCCUAUGAUGCCUAUGACCUAGGGUCUGAUUAGGGACACCUCUCAAUCAUAAUUGACCCAGUCAAAAGAAGUUGCCGACAGCACGCCUCGUCAAAAGCAGUCGCCGAAUCUCAUGAGAGCAGCAGACAAAGCACUGUUUGCCUCAAUCAAAUCGCCGAAGGCAAAGAUUCCCCACAAAUCGACAAAAUUGAAAGUUGAAUCAAAUGGCAUGCCCGUGCCCCUACAGUUGCUUAACCUCAGUUACUUUUUAUCCCAGUUAUGUAAACCAUAGUUGCAUUUGUCUUUAAAUUCAGGCUUCGGCCUCAGUUGUAGGCAGAACUGGUUUUCCAGCUGCAUUUCAUAUUCAGUUUUAGAACUCUUAAUCGAAAAUUUAAAAUUGAUUGGGCUCAUCUAAACAGUCAUCUCAAAGCCCCUGAGAACCUGUCUAGACGAGAAAGUUACCACCAAGCCUUUCCUGAUAGUCAAAGCCGUCAAGAAAUCUUUAAAGAAUGGAAAGAUUACAUGCGGUCUGCCCAAGUUGAAAUUUUCUACCUUGAUUUUGUUGAAAGUCGUUAUAUGUCAAAUGAUGAGUUAAAAACUUUGACUAAAGAAAAAUGGAAAAUGAUAGAUAAGUCUGUCGUUGAAUCCAGCCAUCCUCCAGUUGACACUAUAAUUAUUGAACACAAGAAUACUCCUAUACCUGCUACCCCUUUCAAAACCUUUGAAAGCAGCGAUAGCAAUAGAAGAAUUCUUGAGCAAAAUAAUUAUACAAACCAAAGUCUAAUCGUCAUAGGAAAACAGUUAGACACGAUAGAAACAAAAAUUGACAAAAUCAGUUCCCCAGAAGCAAAGUCAAAAACCAAAGUUGAAAAACCAAUUGUCCAGUUCCAAGAUCUUAGGUCAAGCCCGACACUUAAGAUCACACCCACAAUGAAGAAAAUAGAAGAAAUGUUAGAACAGUUGACCCCAGUCAAAGUAGAGAAAAUUGAGAAAUCUGGUCUUAAAACACUAGAUUCUUUUGCAGUUGAAGACCCUUCUGAGUCUGAUACGACAGAGUCUGAAAUUAGUAAUAUUUCUAAAAUUGAAAAAGCCUUUCAAAAUUUAGAAAUCCAAGUUGAACCCAAAAUUAAAAAAUUAGAAAAGUUUGUCAGCCCCACUAGUCUGACCAAAAAUUGGUAUCCCAGGCCAACACCUCCAGACAUCCAAUUUGAAGAAACUUCCAAACCCAGUUCUCGGUUUCUUCUGAUAAAUUGUAUGAAUGGAAUAUUGAUGGUCUCUCUGAGCAAGAAAUCCUAAAUAAGCUACAACAUAUGUCUAUGGUUGCCAAUAGUUAUAUCACCAAUCAUAGUUUCAGACAGUCUGAAAUUGUUCCUCUGUUAGUCACCGGUUUCACAGGUACUCUCAGAUAUUUGUGGGAUAAACACCUAACCCCUGAGUCCAAAAGCCGAAUUACUUUUGCCAUAAGACAGGAUGAAGAUGGUCUCCCUAUAUUGGUUUUAGAACUGUUGACUUACAGGAAUUUGUUCUAAGAAAACGACUCAUGGCUACUCAAGUGUUUGGAUUUUGCAGACUGAGGAAGAAGAUAAACAAGGACUUCCUGGACUUACCGUUUAUCCUACAAGAAACCUAUUAACCUUUCUCAAUUUUCUGUCUCCUGCCCACCACACACGCCCUACCCUCGGGACUUACUGAUCUAGGAAAAAGGACUCACGGGUCAGACCUUAGAGAAAGAUGAACAGACAACUCAGAGAAUAAAAGGGAGGAAAAGGAAGAAGAUGAAACCUUCUACUCAGAAGCUUAAACCAGCCACUUGGGCGGGAAUGAGUAGCAGACUUAGACAAUGACCGUAACUCUUACGGCUCUGAUACCAACAAAGGAACAGGGAGAUAGAAUGAAGAAUAGAGGAAGAAGAAGAAGAAAGCAAAGCAGAUAAAACAACGAUAAACAAAUGCAGAAGGAAAUAGGAUGCAGCAACUUAACUCAGCAUUCAGACUAAUGCAGGAAAAUAAUGCAUAUAUGAAAUUAAUAAAAAUAGAGAUAAUUUAAAAUAGCAAUUUUAUUUAUACUCACAAAGGAGAGCAACUGCAACUUCAAACUUCACACUUACACUCAGUAUUUACAAGGGUAUUUACAAGGAUGAUUUUCUCCAAAGGAUGUUUCAGAGAGAAUCUUUUAAAACUGAAUAUGAAAUGCAGCUGGAAAACCAGUUCUGCCUACAACUGAAGCCGAAGCCUGAAUUUAAAGACAAAUGCAACUAUGGUUUACAUAACUGGGAUAAAAAAUAACUGAGGUUAAGCAACUGUAGGGGCACGGGCAUGCCAUUUGAUUCAACUUUCAAUUUUGUCGAUUUGUGGGGAAUCUUUGCUUUCGGCUACUUUCUGCGAUUUGAUUGAGGCAAACAGUGCUUUGUCUGCUACUCUCAUGAGAUUCGGG
rnacentral:lncRNA from 1 species